rnacentral:rRNA from 1 species
UACGUAGGGUGCGGGCGUUGUCCGGAAUUAUUGGGCGUAAAGAGCUCGUAGGCGGUGUGUCGCGUCGGCCGUGAAAACCUGGGGCUUAACUCUGGGCGUGCGGUCGAUACGGGCAUCACUAGAGUUCGGCAGGGGAGACUGGAAUUCCUGGUGUAGCGGUGAAAUGCGCAGAUAUCAGGAGGAACACCGGUGGCGAAGGCGGGUCUCUGGGCCGAUACUGACGCUGAGGAGCGAAAGCAUGGGGAGCAAACAGG